AUUCCAGCUCCAAUAGCGUAUAUUAAAGUUGUUGCAGUUAAAAAGCUCGUAGUUGGAUGUUGGGUUCUAGUUAUGUUCGGUCUCUUCUAGAGUACUGUCAUGCUGGCCCUUUUUCUCGAGGCCUAUAGGUGCACUUAACCGUGUGUUUAUAGUGUUCGGGACUUUUACCGUGAGAAAAUUAGAGUGUUCAUAGCAGGCUAGUGCUUGAAUAUUACAGCAUGGAAUAAUGGAAUAGGAUCAUGAUCUUAUUUUGUUGGUUUCUAAGAUUAAGAUAAUGAUUAAUAGGGAUAGUUGGGGGCAUUAAUAUUUAGUUGUCAGAGGUGAAAUUCUUAGAUUUACAAAAGAUUAACUUCUGCGAAAGCAUUUGCCAAGGAUGUUUUCAUUA
rnacentral:rRNA from 1 species